rnacentral:lncRNA from 1 species
GUCACCAUGGGUAACACGAGGCCUGUGGGAGGCCAGGCGCAGGCUGUGGGCAGAGCUGUAGGUGCCAUCUUAUCCCUGCCUUCUCCUCCUCUGCAGGUGUUCCUGGCCUCGCCCACUGAGGUGGCUAAGGUCUGCCUGCAGACACAGAUGCAGCAGUUGCGGCCCUUGGCCUCGGGGCCUUUGUCUGUGCCCCUCGUGUGUCCUGUGUCUCCUGUAUGUUCAGUGUCCAAGUACCAUGGGCUGCUGCACUGCCUGGCCAUGGUGGCCCAUGAGGAGGGGCUGCACAGCCUCUACAAGAGCAGCUCAGCCCUGCUUUUCUGGGACAGCCACUCCUUUGCCACCUACUUCUUCUCCUAUGCUGCCCUCUGUGGGUGGCUCGGCCCCACUGGCCAUAGCCAGCCAGGUGAGCAGGGG